ACUGGUGUAGCCUUUAUUAAAUGCUGCAUGAGACUACUUGAAUGGAUUUGGUCCUAGCCUCUGCUGGUCAGAUUAAUCAGAGUAAGCAUUGGAUUGGCAUACUCAUGGGAAAACUUGCCAGAAACAGAAUGACAUGGAGAUGAGUGGUGGGGGCCAAUUUCCCAUGGUAUCUUGCAUUUCUGUAAAACUUGUGAAGCAAGAAAUUGCCUACCAUUUUUGUUCCAGAUUUGCAUAGCAAAUAUCCUUAGAAGGCAGAGAUAGUGUUUCCCUCCACAGCAAAAGGCAGAUAUGUCUACAGCCUGGAAAGGUAGAGGUACUAUCUUCCUCUGGAGCAAAGGGCAAGCAUGCUUUCUGACCAUUACAAAAGAUUCCAGUUCCACAAGCUUAGGGUUCCUUUCUUGGAAUGGAACCUACUGCAUGUGAUGGUUUGAUAUGGCCCUCUUUGUGUUGCUAGAUUGGGGAAUCAGCAUAAAUGAUAAUACUCUGACACACGCUAUUGCUGUGAGUAAUGUGUUCUGCAUGUGAUGGUUUGAUAUGGUCCUCUGUUGCUAAAUUGGGGAAUCAGCGUAUAUGUUAAUACUCUGACACUUGCUAUUGCUGUGAGUAAUGUAGUUUUUGUGUGUCUGACAUAGGAGUCUUGUGUUUUUUUUUUUUAUCAGCAUCCAUGAAACUGUGGCAGUCUCACUUGUUAGCUUGCAAGCAGAGAAAAAUUUCACAGUUCUUGAUAUUGUUCAGGGCAGUUAUAUGCCUAUACUACAAAUAACACUGCUCACACUAAAGACUGAGUAAGCUGCUGAGACCUUAUCUCUUUCUGGGGUUGGUGUUAAAGAAGCUUUUGGGGUAAUGUAGAGUAAAUCCAUAAGGAAAAUAGGAAGUCCACUGUCUAUAUCAGGCUGGCACUAAAAGACCAACAUUAGGUGACAACAGGGAUCUUGUGAAGAUCCUUAUGUCGGAAAAAGUGCAAUGAAAGCAGUUUGUUAGGUACAUUAAUCUGAUACUGUCUCAUAAAAUGGACUAUGAAUCAAUGAAAUUAAUUUAAGUCAGCUAACAUAUUGAACACCUAGUAGGUACAAAGCCACUAUAUUGAGUUCUGCAGGUGAUACAGAGAUGAAUAAAAUGAGAAAUGGAACAACUGAUAAUUUGGUUGGAAAAAAUUGUAUAAAAUCAUGAUGCUUGUUUGAAUAAAGUAACUGAAAUAAAUUGUAUAAAUGCAAUAUUAAGGGGUGAAAAAAUCAGGGAUUAGAAAUCCUGAAGGAAGGGGAAGGAAGGCAGGAGAAUUUGCUUUGUUUUACCAUAGCUUUAGAUAAAUGAGUUCCAUAUUCUAGUUAGUCUGCAAGUUUCUAAUGGAAAUUUAGUGACUGAAUUGCUCCUUAAAGAAGACCAGAGCAGGGACCUGACAGAACAUUAAUUACAGGAUCUAUUAGACAUCACCAAGGCUUUGUGCCACUGACCUAGAUUUACCCACCUUAGGUUUCAGAGUUGGGAUCACUGAUCUUUCACUGAGGAAAAUAUUAUUGGAGACAAGGAGAGAGCAGACGAUGGUGGAUUUAAGGAAAAGAGGAGCUAUGUAGAGAAAACCAUUUUUGGUCGGGCACAGUGGCUCAUGCCUGUAAUCCCAGCACUUUGGGAGGCUGAGGCGGCAGGUGGAUCACAAGAUCAGGAGUUCAAGACCAGCCAACACGAAACCUGGUCUCUACUAAAAAUACAGAAAUUCACUGGGCAUGGUGGCAUGCACCUGUAAUCCCAGCUACUUAGGAGGCUGAGGCAGGAGAAUUACUUGAACCUGGGAGGCGGAGGUUGCAGUCAGCCAAGACCGUGCCACUGUACUUCAGCCUGGGCAACUGAGCAAGACUCCAUCUCAAAAAAAAAAAAAAAA
ensembl:lncRNA